rnacentral:rRNA from 1 species
AGCUCCAGUAGCGUCUAUUAAAGUUGUUGCAGUUAAAAAGCUCGUAGUUGGAUUUCUGGUUGACCACCCUGGCCCGCGUCCUCACGGGCGUGUGUGCUGGUGUGAGUCUUCCAUCCUUCUAGAGAGCCGUGCCUGCUGUUCACUCAGCUGGGCGUGUGCAAUCUAGAUCAUUUACUUUGAAAAAAUUAGAGUGUUUAAAGCAGGCUUAUGCCUGAAUACAUUAACAUGGAAUAAUAAAAUAGGACUUCGGUUCUAUUUUGUUGGUUCCUAGAACUGAAGUAAUGAUUGAUAGGGAUAGUUGGGGGUGCUAGGAUUCCGUGGCCAGACUAACUACUGCGAAAGCAUUCACCAAGGAUGUCUUCU